CACUCCAGCCUGGGCAGCAGAGUGAAACCCUGUCUCUAAAAAUAAUAAUUUCCUUAAACUACUACUAUUUCUUUAUAUGUUGAUUUUUUUAUAGUUCAUUAACCUGUUUAUCAUAAAUACAAUUUUUUCUUGUUUUUCUUUAAAAGAUCUUGUUUUAUAUUUAUUCACUUUUUUCCCUUUUUUCUUUCAAUACCAGAAACAAAGUACGGAAGUGUACAGCACAAAUGCUUAGAAACUGACCUAAUGCCAAUCAUCCAUUUGCAGGCGUUGCAGAGGGACUGUGUGAGGUGAAACCUCCCUGCCCUGUGAACGGGAUGCAGGUCCACUCGGGCGAAACGGAAAUACUCAGGAAGGCAGUGGAGGACUAUUUCUGCUUUUGUUAUGGUAAAGCCUUAGGGACAACAGUGAUGGUGCCUGUUCCCUAUGAGAAGAUGCUGC
rnacentral:lncRNA from 10 species